AUGGCAAUUUUCCGGCCGCGACACCGCUGUUUCCCUCUUCGUCUCUUCGAGAACAGCCGGCGUUGCCCCUCCCGUCGUGAAGCAUUUUCGCCAGAGUCUUUUUCUUUCUUCGUUGCGAUUCAGUCCGGCGAAGUCAUUUCCUCUUUCGUGCGAUUCUUCGGACAACAUUAUCUUCUCCAAUUCGCAUUGCUUGGUGCAGGGCAUUAG